AACGGGAUGUGGUACAUAACCAUUUGGUAUUCAUUUUUAUAUUGGUUGUUGUAGACCCAUUCUCCAGAUGUAUUCCCAUUCCCCAGCAACGUCAACUUACAGAUGGCCUUCAUACUCGAUUACUCGAAGGUAACGGAUAUCAAUACGUAAAACGUGCCACAAAUGGUGUAGAGGGUGGGUGAGAAAGGGACAUGUUUCAUCAUUAUCAAGCAGGUACAAUAGCCGAAGGCUUAAGAGGUUAGGGUGAGAAAAAAAAAAUCGUACAAAAGGGAGAGAGAAAAGGCGAUAAAAAUCAGUCAAGUGAGAAUCUCCGACACGGUAACAACUGCAGCGCACCAUAGUUACCAACUUCUUUCUUCAUCGUAUUAUCAGUUCGAAAUCAUGGAUAUAUAUUCUGUUGUUUUUUCAUAUGGUUUUGUUGUAACGCUACUAUUGACUAUUUGUUAAUAUGCGAGUUAUAAUUUUAAUGUUUGAAUUUAUUAAUUGUCCUGGUUAUCUAUGGCGUUGUCCUGCUGUUGGGUGUUGUAUCGUUGAUGGCUGGGUCCACCACAAAUACUACACGACUACGUAUGCUGCCCCGUCCUACUACACCGAGGCUCCCAAGUACUACUUUGUUCACAGCUACUACACCGAGGCUUCAGCUAAUUACUCCUCCAAGACGGUCGAAUACUACACAGGAGCGCCCAAGAACUACUCUUUCCCGAUCUACACAACCACAACGGAUGCGCCCAAGUAUUACGCAGCCACGACUUGCUACACAGAAGCUGCUCCUUCGACCUACGUUGAACAGAAAUACUACACAGAUGUUCCAGUUAACUACACCACAACCUACGCUACAUGUUGCAGCUCCCGUUUUCACGCCUUUUUAUUGACUCAUUUCUAACACUGAUUCUGGAUAUUUAGUUGAAGGAAAAUGCGAAUGUCCCUGAAUACGAUGUUGUUUCGCGACUUCCUUUCCGACUCGGACACUUAUGCCGCUUAUGCGUCAGCUUCAUCAAUUCGCUUAUCGACCGAUAGGUACUUGGACGAUGCUGCCAGAUUGGACGCCUUCAGCGACAGACUGUAAGGAGACCGACUCUCCGCCGUAACAAGUAAACGUGAACCGGACAUAAUGUACAGUGUGCGCUUCCCUGUUUUUAGAGUUGGGAAGUUGUCCGUCGGGUGGCUAUAUUCAACCUCAAAAAAGCAAUCCGGUGUACUUUGGUUACCAGAUAAUUGAGACCCGGAUUACAGAGAGACGUUACCAAUGACUUGUGGAGUUUAUUACUAACAUCGUCAAAAUUACCCAUUUAUUUAAUAGUGGAGUUCAACCUGCAGACGGGCCGGCCAGUUUGCAUGUCCUUCACGCAUGAAGGUCGCGGGGAACAUUACGUAAAACUGUCAAUGCGGUGGUGUAGAGGUUGGGUGAGAACUGGACGUGCUGCAUCAUUAUCAAGCAGACCCAUCCCCAGCAACGUCAACCUAAUAAAGAAGGAAAGGCCAGUUUGCAUUUCCUUCAUUUUCGAAGGUCACGGAGAUCAUUUCGUAAAACGUGCCAUGUGACGGCGGAGAGGUUGGGUGAGAACGACACGUGUAACAUCAUUAUCAAGCAGACCCAUUCCAAUCCCCGGCAACGUCAACCUGUAGAAGGAAAGGACAGUACGCAUGGCCUUUACACUCCAAGGUCACGGAGAUCAUUACAGGUUAGGUGAGAACGGGACGUGUUUCAUCAUUAUGAAGCGGGUAAAAUAGCUGUAAGUCAACGUGCCGAAGGAAAGACCAGUUUGAAUGGCCUUCACGCUCGAAGGUCACGGAGAUGAAUACGUAAAUGCAAUGGUGUAGAGGUUGGGCGAGAACGGGACGUGCUGCAUCAUUGUCAGGCAGUGAACUAUAUCGUCGUGCUGCUGUUGGGUGCUGUAUCGUUGAUGGCUGGGUCGACCACUAGUGUACCGAUGUCUCCUGGGUAUGGUGGAUAGCAAACUGCAACGCCGCCACCUUUCCACACAAUAUUAACACACGCAACAGCCGGUUCCUGCACUAGUACCGAGUCUUCAGAAUAUUACAUCUAAAACUUAUGAAGACCCGAGCUAUUACACCGAAUCCCGAAGUACAAGUCUGUCCUGAGCUACAUUACCAAAUAACUGGAGUACUUCACCGAAGCGCCCAAAUACUAUUUUACUGCCUAUGCUGCCACGAGCUACUCUACCGACGCCCCGCUCUGCCCCGAGCUACACCACCAAGGCAGCGUUGGUGUUGAGAGUUUGUCCACCAGGUCGGAGAGCGCCUGGUGUUGGCAACAUUGCACGCGACACGCGUUUCAUCAUUCAUGCCACUGACGCCAUUUCUAUUUUGGAUGCUGUCAGUUCCGUUCGUGAUUAAUGCCGUAAACUUCAACAUUCUUCUUCACAAAUAUCUUAAAGAAUUAUUGACUUGGCGCAGUUGAGCUUCUUCGAGAAAGUACAAUGUCCAUUGGAUUUGCUGCAGCCAGCUGUUGAAUGAAGACCAUGCGCAGGUGUGAUGAGCUGCUGCGUGGCGCUGGUCUGGGGAAGUGCUGCAUGCUGUCUGUUGUGCUGGUUUGAAUAACACCACAAAGAGUUUGAACCUUUUGUUUUACAAUUUAAAGCUUAAGUUAGCAUUUAAAUUUUUUUAUUGUCUUUGUAAUUUUUUUUUUUCACAUUUCUAAAUCUUAUUUGUUUUGUUGUUUUGUUUUGUUGCUGUUUAGGUUUUCAUAGUCAGUUAGAUUUUGAGUUUAUUAUGGUUUCGCUAUUUGGUGUGCAGUGCAUGUUUAGGUGGUUUUUGUUGCAGCCAGCUGUUAAAAGGAAUUCAAGUCAAAUUGAGCUGCAGGUUCUGGAAGUAGUCUACAUUGCUGGUGUCAUCCUGAAAUGCAACAGUAACAAAGGCAUCAUGUAAUGGAUUUGGUGAUAGCGUGAUGCAUCUGCCUUGGUGACAAUGAUGUAUCAUCUUGCUGCAUGCAGCCAUGUCGAAGCUAGACUCUAAGUAAACCUGCAAAAAUAUUCAUAGAAAUGAAUGGUGAAAAUGUUCAGCGGUUUCGUGUCAAAUGGCAGUGUCAGUGGUUUCUGUUCAAGUUUUUAUCCUGGAUUGCGCUGGUGUCCUUGCAGUAACUAAUGCUGGUGUCUUUGCCGUAACUAAUGCUGGUGCCCUUGCAGUAACUGAUGCUGGUGUCAUCCUGAUGUUGCUGUGCCAGUGAAAUUCAUGUUGAUAGAAAUAUUUUUAUCUGUGUUUGUGUUUCAUUCUGUGUACAUUGAAGAAACUGAUGUGUUUUUACUCUCUGAUAUGAUAUGUUGCAACAAAAGUUAAAUGUGGUCAUCCCAUAUGAUGAAAUUACCUCAACCCUAAUUAGGUGAGUUAGUUAUUAAUUGUAUAACAAAGUCAAACCUGUAAUUUUUUGUUAUUCUUGUAAAUUUUUAUUUGAAACUUUUUUCUACAGUGUUUAAUGUUGCAUUAAAUAAAAAAAAAAACCGAAUAUUCAAUCUUAAAAA